AUGGGCUCCGCGACCCGAGCGCCUCUUUUCGGGAUUAAAAGCGCCGCCAGCUCCCGCCGCCGCCGCCGUCGCCAGCAGCGCCGCUGCAGCCGCCGCCGCCGGAGAAGCAACCGCGUAAGUGGCAACUUUUCCCUCUUUUUUUUUUCCCGCCGCCGCCGCCGCCGCCUGCUCCUCCUCCUCCUCCCGCCGCCACCGCCCGGACGCGGGGCUCCUCGGGGCGCCCGGGCUGCUUUGCAUGGGGCUCGUCCUGCCCCCUCCCGGCUCCCGCGCCCGGCCGCCGCCGCCCGCGCUCCCCGCGCCCGCGCCCUGCUCGCUCGCUGCGUCCCGCUCGCCUUCCCCCUGCGCCAAACUUUCUCUUUCUCUUCUUCUUCCUCCUCCUCCCGACGCCGCCGCCGCCGCCGCCGCCGCCGAGCCCGGGCCGCCCCCUCCUCCUCGGCCCCCGCGCCGCCGCCACCGGCCGCGGGCGACCCCCGGGAGGGUGGAGGCGCCCGGGGCGAGGCCCGCGCGGAGAGUUUGGAGGCGCCGCCGGGCAGGGCCGACCGGGGCGCGGGCAGAGGGCGGGAGGGCGGUCGGGGUCCCGGCGCCGAGACAAAGGCAGCGGCCGGCGGUGUUGCGGGGGGCGGGGGUCCGCGGUGCCGAGCGCCCCCGCCCCCGCCGUUCUCGGCCCCCAACUUUGCCCCACCCGGAGUGGCGCCGGGGCCCGGGGCUGAGCCGCCGCGCGGGGCGCGCACCCGGCCCGGGGCAGUCGCUGCGGUCUCAGCCUCUGCUGCUGCUGCCGCGACCGCCGCCGCUGGCCGUGCGGCCGGGCGGGCGCUUUCCGCGCCGGGGCUGGACUUGCCAGGGACGCGGGAGCCCGUUCGGAGCCUCGGGGUCCCGGAGGGGGGCGAGGCGGCCGCGCGAUCCUCUACCUGCGCGCUCUCCGCCCUGCCCCACUGGCAGCGCUGCAAGCGCCCAGAGGGGGCUCUGCCCUGGACACUAGGGGCUCCCGGGGGCUCGGGGCUGCGCCACCGGCCAGGGCCAGAUCUCUCCGGGCCGGCCUUCCUCCGCCAGCUGAGCUCAGAGACAUCCGAGGAUGCUUUUUUUCUUAUUUUUUUCUUUCUUCUUCUUCUUCUCCUCCUCUCUCUUUCUCUCUCUUUUUUUUUUUUCUCUCUCUCUCGCUAA
rnacentral:lncRNA from 13 species